UACGAAGGGGGCUAGCGUUGUUCGGAUUUACUGGGCGUAAAGCGCACGUAGGCGGAUUGUUAAGUCAGGGGUGAAAUCCCGGAGCUCAACUCCGGAACUGCCUUUGAUACUGGCAAUCUUGAGGCUGGAAGAGGUUAGUGGAAUUCCCAGUGUAGAGGUGAAAUUCGUAGAUAUUCGCAAGAACACCAGUGGCGAAGGCGGCUCACUGGUCCGGUACUGACGCUGAGGUGCGAAAGCGUGGGGAGCAAACAGG
rnacentral:rRNA from 1 species